rnacentral:tRNA from 1 species
CGCGGGGUAGAGCAGUGGUAGCUCGUCGGGCUCAUAACCCGGAGGUCGUUGGUUCGAAUCCAACCCCCGCUA